rnacentral:rRNA from 1 species
CGGGACGCAGCAGCAGUGGGGAAUAUUGCACAAUGGGCGCAAGCCUGAUGCAGCCAUGCCGCGUGUAUGAAGAAGGCCUUCGGGUUGUAAAGUACUUUCAGCGGGGAGGAAGGGAGUAAAGUUAAUACCUUUGCUCAUUGACGUUACCCGCAGAAGAAGCACCGGCUAACUCCGUGCCAGCAGCCGCGGUAAUACGGAGGGUGCAAGCGUUAAUCGGAAUUACUGGGCGUAAAGCGCACGCAGGCGGUUUGUUAAGUCAGAUGUGAAAUCCCCGGGCUCAACCUGGGAACUGCAUCUGAUACUGGCAAGCUUGAGUCUCGUAGAGGGGGGUAGAAUUCCAGGUGUAGCGGUGAAAUGCGUAGAGAUCUGGAGGAAUACCGGUGGCGAAGGCGGCCCCCUGGACGAAGACUGACGCUCAGGUGCGAAAGCGUGGGGAGCAAACAGGAUUAGAUACCCGAGUAGUC